AGCACUAGGCUGAUCCAUAACAUUUACUGUGCCAAGUUUAAAUGGUUGGCGAUAAGAUGAACCUAAAAAUACUACUACUCGUUUUUUCCAUAUGGUACUGCAUUUUUGCUAGGAAAACCACUACUAGAGUAGCACAAAUGGGAGUAAAAGUUCGAUCUCAUUAUGCCAAUUGUGCGGGUGAUACCGGACCAAUACCGUUGACUGCCUGCCUGCACGACUGUGGUGAUUUUCCGGUGAUCGCGGGAGAAUGUCGGUGUGGACUGCUUUGUUGCUCUUUGGUGCAGUAAGAGCUGAAAAUUUCGGACAGGGAAAUAUGACAUAAAAUGUGUUACUUUUAUUAGUAAAAGCAUAUUUCACACUC